UACGAAGGGGGCUAGCGUUGCUCGGAAUCACUGGGCGUAAAGGGUGCGUAGGCGGGUCUUUAAGUCAGGGGUGAAAUCCUGGAGCUCAACUCCAGAACUGCCUUUGAUACUGAAGAUCUUGAGUUCGGGAGAGGUGAGUGGAACUGCGAGUGUAGAGGUGAAAUUCGUAGAUAUUCGCAAGAACACCUGUGGCGAAGGCGGCCACCUGGUUGGAUACUGACGCUGAGACGCGAAAGCGUGGGGAGCAAACAGG
rnacentral:rRNA from 1 species